CAGGGAAUAUUGGACAAUGGGCGAAAGCCUGAUCCAGCAACGCCGCGUGAAUGAUGAAGGCCUUAGGGUUGUAAAAUUCUUUCGCUAGGGAAGAUAAUGACUGUACCUAGUAAAGAAGCCCCGGCUAACUCCGUGCCAGCAGCCGCGGUAAUACGGAGGGGGCUAGCGUUGUUCGGAAUUACUGGGCGUAAAGCGUGCGUAGGCGGACUGGAAAGUCAGAUGUGAAAUCCCGGGGCUCAACCCCGGAACUGCAUUUGAAACUGUUAGUCUAGAGUUCUGGAGAGGUAAGUGGAAUUCCUAGUGUAGAGGUGAAAUUCGUAGAUAUUAGGAGGAACACCAGAGGCGAAGGC
rnacentral:rRNA from 1 species